rnacentral:rRNA from 1 species
AUUGAACGCUAGCGGGAUGCCUUACACAUGCAAGUCGAACGGAGUGGCGAACGGGUGAGUAAUGUAUCGGAACGUGCCCAGUAGCGGGGGAUAACUACGCGAAAGCGUAGCUAAUACCGCCUACUCUUGGAGCGGCCGAUAUCGGAUUAGCUAGUUGGUGGGGUAACGGCUCACCCAGGCGACGAUCCGUAGUUGGUUUGAGAGGACGACCAGCCACACUGGGACGGAGACACGGCCCAGACUCCUACGGGAGGCAGCAGUGGUGAAUGUUGGACAAUGGGGGAAAGCCUGAUCCAGCCAUGCCGCGUGUGCGAUGAAGGCCUUAGGGUUGUAAAGCACUUUAGGCAGGAAGGCGGUACCGGCAGAAGAAGCACCGGCUAACUACGUGCCAGCAGCCGCGGUAAUAC